UGGGGAAUAUUGCACAAUGGGCGAAAGCCUGAUGCAGCGACGCCGCGUGAGCGAAGAAGUAUUUCGGUAUGUAAAGCUCUAUCAGCAGGGAAGAAAAUGACGGUACCUGACUAAGAAGCUCCGGCUAAAUACGUGCCAGCAGCCGCGGUAAUACGUAUGGAGCAAGCGUUAUCCGGAUUUACUGGGUGUAAAGGGAGCGUAGGCGGCAGGGCAAGUCUGAUGUGAAAACCCAGGGCUCAACCUUGGGACUGCAUUGGAAACUGUUCGGCUGGAGUGUCGGAGAGGCAAGCGGAAUUCCUAGUGUAGCGGUGAAAUGCGUAGAUAUUAGGAGGAACACCAGUGGCGAAGGCGGCUUGCUGGACGAUAACUGACGCUGAGGCUCGAAAGCGUGGGGAGCAAACAGG
rnacentral:rRNA from 1 species